rnacentral:rRNA from 1 species
UAGAGUUUGAUCCUGGCUCAAGACGACCUUUGGCGGCGCGCCUAACACAUGCAAGUCGAACGAGCGAGAGAGAGCUUGCUUUCUCAAGCGAGUGGCGAACGGGUGAGUAACGCGUGAGGAACCUGCCUCAAAGAGGGGGACAACAGUUGGAAACGACUGCUAAUACCGCAUAAGCCCACAGGUCGGCAUCGACCAGAGGGAAAAGGAGCAAUCCGCUUUGAGAUGGCCUCGCGUCCGAUUAGCUAGUUGGUGAGGUAAUGGCCCACCAAGGCAACGAUCGGUAGCCGGACUGAGAGGUUGAACGGCCACAUUGGGACUGAGACACGGCCCAGACUCCUACGGGAGGCAGCAGUGGGGAAUAUUGCACAAUGGGGGAAACCCUGAUGCAGCGACGCCGCGUGGAGGAAGAAGGUCUUCGGAUUGUAAACUCCUGUUGUUGAGGAAGAUAAUGACGGUACUCAACAAGGAAGUGACGGCUAACUACGUGCCAGCAGCCGCGGUAAAACGUAGGUCACAAGCGUUGUCCGGAAUUACUGGGUGUAAAGGGAGCGCAGGCGGGAAGACAAGUUGGAAGUGAAAUCUAUGGGCUCAACCCAUAAACUGCUUUCAAAACUGUUUUUCUUGAGUAGUGCAGAGGUAGGCGGAAUUCCCGGUGUAGCGGUGGAAUGCGUAGAUAUCGGGAGGAACACCAGUGGCGAAGGCGGCCUACUGGGCACCAACUGACGCUGAGGCUCGAAAGUGUGGGUAGCAAACAGGAUUAGAUACCCUGGUAGUCCACACCGUAAAC